CAGUAGCCACGGUAAUACGUAGGGCGCAAGCGUUAUCCGGAAUUAUUGGGCGUAAAGAGCUCGUAGGCGGUUUGUCGCGUCUGCCGUGAAAGUCCGGGGCUCAACCCCGGAUCUGCGGUGGGUACGGGCAGACUAGAGUGAUGUAGGGGAGACUGGAAUUCCUGGUGUAGCGGCGAAAUGCGCAGAUAUCAGGGGGAACACCGAUGGCGAAGGCAGGUCUCUGGGCAUUAACUGACGCUGAGGAGCGAAAGCAUGGGGAGCGAACAGGAUUAGAGCCCCUGUAGUCCCUGUCUCUUAUACA
rnacentral:rRNA from 1 species